AUGUGUUUGUAUGUUCUAGGACCUCCAGGUUUGACGGGAUUCCCAGGAGUUACAGGAGCUAAAGGGGACCGAGGAGAUCCAGGCAGAUUGACAAUUGGAUUGCCUGGCCCACCUGGCAGAGAUGGCACUCCAGGCUUGCCAGGGCCUCCAGGACUUCCUGGUCCAUCACGUUCUGAUUUGAGACCAGAUGGUAUCUUUAGUGGAGAACCUGGAGAGCCAGGGACACCUGGGCAGAGGGGACCACCGGGGACAUUCGGUCCCAAAGGAUUCAAAGGCGAAGGAGGCGACUGUGCCUGCGAUGGAGGGGUGACAGGAUAUGGCCUCAAGGGAGAGCCAGGUUCACCUGGCCAGCCGGGAAGACCAGGGGAAUUUGGGCCAAAAGGCCCUUUGGGAGACCCAGGAAUUGGGGAACCGGGCCCACGUGGGCCACCGGUAAGUAGAGUUUUCUCCAUUUGCUGGUGAUGGGAAAUGAUGCUGCCUUUUGUUGCAUUGAUAAUAUGGAGAAGAUCCAUGCAAGAGGAGCCUUGCAUGAAGAAUGGAUGCCAGGAUGAAUCAAGAGAGAGAAUGAUAGAUUGACAGACAGACAGAUAGAUCAAUAGAUAGGUGGACAGGCAGAAGCUCUGACAAAUUCUAAAUCUCAAUAGAGUGGAAAAGUCUUUUAACCAGGGAAAUGGUGAUGGCACCAGAGGCAGCAAUUGCACCUUCUACUCCUCAUCGAUUUACCAACAAGUUAUAUCAAAAUCUGCAUUGCUGUGAGUUUCCUGGGCUGUAUGACCAUGUUCCAGAAGCAUUCUCUCCUGACGUUUCACCCACAUCUAUGGCAGACAUCCUCAGAGAUUGUAAGGUCUGUUGGAAAUGAUGCAAGUGGGGUUUAUAAAUCUGGGGAAGAUUCAGGGUGGGAGAAAGAAUUCUUUUCUGAUGGAGGCAAGUGUGAAUGUUGCAGCUGGCCAGCUUGAUUAGCAUUGAAUAGCCUUUCAGCUUCAAUGUCUGGCUGCUUCCUGCCUGAGGGAGUCCUUGGUUGGGAGGUGCAACAUUCACACCUGCCUCAAACAGCCAAGAGUUUUUUCUCCCACCCUGGACAUUAUUCCACAGAUAUAUACACCCCACUUGCCUAGUGUCCAACAGACUUCACAACCUAUGAGGAUGCCUGACAUAGAAGUGGGUGAAACAUCAGGAGGGAAUGUUUCUGGAACAUGGCUGUAAAGCCUGGAAAACUCACAGCAAUUCAGUGAUUCUGGCCAUGAAAACUUUGGACAACACAUAUAUCAAAAUCCCUAUUUUUGUCCCUCAAACUUGCCCUCAACUUAUACACAAAGUCGGUGUAUAUAGAGUCCAAAAAAUGGUGCAGUCUCUUGGCACAGCUGCAGCAAAACAUUGUCCUAUCUAAGUACACAUGUCUGAAAUAAAUGUCUCUGCUGUCUUCCAUUUCCUUUGCUGCCUCCCUUGUGUUCUCUGUAAACUGCUAAAAAACCCAGAAUGUUGCACUUCUUGUUCCUUGGCUAAAGUGCCUUGUCUGUUGAUGACACCCUUAUAAAGAUACUUUUCAGCGACAUCCACAAAUAUAAGCACACACACAAAAAUAAAUCAAAGAUAAUAUUGAAGGCUUUAAGCCUGUAGCUUGUUAUUUUCAUCAUUUCCUUUUUCUUCUUUUUUUGUAAUACUUGGCUCAUUACGUCUGAGAAUUUGGAAAUGGCGUGCCAGAUUUCUAAAUGAAGCCAAUUUCACUUAGACAUUGAACCAUUUUCUUUUGCUUUGUUCCCAUUACAAACACAUAUGCAGAGCUUGGAAAGGUUCCAGUUUGGAAAGAGGGAGAAAGUUACAAGCAGUUGGUGUUGCUAUCAUGUCCACUGGUAAUCCAAAGGCACUAGAGUCUGAAGUUAAGUUGCUUCCUCCCUGGUUAGUAUUUGGAUGGGAGAAUGCCAGUAAACUAGAUUGCUGUCAAUUAUAUUUCAGAAUAAGGAACUGGCAAAACUACUACUACUACUACUACUACUAAUAAUAAUAAUAAUAAUAAUAAUAAUAAUAAUAAUAAUAAUAAUAAUAAUAAUCUUCUUAUACCCCGCCCCAUCUCCCCGAAGGGACUCGGGGUGGCUUACACAGGGACAAGCCCGAACAACAACAUAACAUAGCAUUACAUGUAUAAAAUUUAACAGCAAUUUAAAACAUUCCAACAAUAAACAAAAAUGGCAAACAAGACUAUUACUUUAAAAGCCUAUUCCUUGUUUAACAAAAUCCUACGAAAUCCAUAGAGUCACCACACAACAAGGUG
rnacentral:lncRNA from 1 species